CUGCGAAUGGCUCAUUAUAUAAGUUAUCGUCUAUUUGAUAGUACCUUACUACUUGGAUAACCGUGGUAAUUCUAGAGCUAAUACAUGCUGAAAAUCCCGACUUCGGAAGGGAUGUAUUUAUUGGAUUAAAAAACCAAUGCCCCUGUGGGCUCUCUGGUGAUUCACGAUAACUUCUCGAAUCGCAUGGCCUUGCGCCGGCGAUGGUUCAUUCGAAUUUCUUCCCUAUCAACUUUCGAUGUUUGGGUAGUGGCCAAACAUGGUUACAACGGGUAACGGAGGGUUAGGGCUCGACCCCGGAGAAGGAGCCUGAGAAACGGCUACUACAUCCAAGGAAGGCAGCAGGCGCGCAAAUUACCCAAUCCCGACUCGGGGAGGUAGUGACAAUAAAUACUGAUACAGGGCUCUUUCGGGUCUUGUAAUUGGAAUGAGUACAAUUUAAAUCCCUUAACGAGGAACAAUUGGAGGGCAAGUCUGGUGCCAGCAGCCGCGGUAAUUCCAGCUCCAAUAGCGUAUAUUAAAGUUGUUGUGGUUAAAAAGCUCGUAGUUGAACCUUGGGCCUGGCUGGCCGGUCCGCCUCACCGCGUGUACUGGUCCGGCUGGGCCUUUCCCUCUGUAGAACCCCCAUGCCCUUCACUGGGCGUGGCGGGGAAACAGGACUUUUACUUUGAAAAAAUUAGAGUGCUCCAGGCAGGCCUAUGCUCGAAUACAUUAGCAUGGAAUAAUAAAAUAGGACGUGUGGUUCUAUUUUGUUGGUUUCUAGGACCGCCGUAAUGAUUAAUAGGGACAGUCGGGGGCAUCAGUAUUCAAUUGUCAGAGGUGAAAUUCUUGGAUUUAUUGAAGACUAACUACUGCGAAAGCAUUUGCCAAGGAUGUUUUCAUUAAUCAGGAACGAAAGUUAGGGGAUCGAAGACGAUCAGAUACCGUCGUAGUCUUAACCAUAAACUAUGCCGACUAGGGAUCGGACGAUGUUAUUUUUUGACUCGUUCGGCACCUUACGAGAAAUCAAAG
rnacentral:rRNA from 1 species